CUCGCCACUCGCUGGUCUGCCCCGCCCCGCCUUUCCAUCGCCAGCGACCCUGGACCACACCGCCAUUCGCCUCGUCCUCCUCCCCGUCGACGCCAUUGCGCCUCGUCGCCCAACUCCCCUGCAACGGGGUGCAAGAAGGACGACAUGUUGCAGACACUUUCCUCUUUGAUUUAAGGAGCUGUUUACGUUGUGUUGCUUGGUUCUCCUACUGGUUCGAUAACCUUG